rnacentral:rRNA from 1 species
GAUGAACGCUGGCGGCGUGCCUAAUACAUGCAAGUCGAACGGACAGGCACGGAUCUUGCUCCUCGCACGUGUGGCGCGGGCGGGUGAAAAACACGUGUAUAACCUCCCUAUAAGUCUGGGAUAACUUCGGAAAACGGGAGCUAAUCCCGGAGGAGAUAUUGAACCACGUGGUGCAAUGGUAAAAUACGGUGUUGCGGUCACUUAUCGAUGGAUCCGCGCCGCAUUAGCUAGUUGUUAAGGUAACAGCUUACCAAGGCAACGAUGCGUAGCCGACCUGAGAGGGUGAUCGGCCACACUGGAACUGAGACACGGUCCAGACGCCUACGGGAGGCAGCAGUAGGGAAUCUGCCGCAAAGGGCGAAAGCCUGACGGAGCAACGCCGCGUGAGUGAUGAAGGCCUUCGGAUCGUAAAACUCUGUUAUUAGGGAAGAACAAAUGUGUAAGUAACCAUGCACGUCUUGACGGUACCUAAUCAGAAAGCCACGGCUAACUACGUG